rnacentral:rRNA from 1 species
UACAUGUGGGGCAAGCGUUGUUCGGAAUUACUGGGCAUAAAGGGUGCGUAGGCGGCUUGUUAAGUCAUGGGUGAAAUCCGGUGGCCCAACCAUCGAACUGCCUGUGAAACUGAUGAGCUUGAGUGCGUGAGGGGUAAGCGGAACGAGCAGUGUAGCGGUGAAAUGCGUAGAUAUUGCUCGGAAGGCCAAUGGCGAAGGCAGCUUACUGGUACGUAACUGACGCUGAGGCACGAAAGCGUGGGGAGCAAACAGG